rnacentral:rRNA from 1 species
GACGAACGCUGGCGGCGUGCUUAACACAUGCAAGUCGAGCGGUAAGGCCCUUUCGGGGGUACACGAGCGGCGAACGGGUGAGUAACACGUGGGUGACCUGCCCUCAGCUCUGGGAUAAGCCUGGGAAACCGGGUCUAAUACUGGAUAUGACUCCAUGACGCAUGUUGUGGGGUGGAAAGCCUUGUGCGGCUGAGGAUGGGCCCGCGGCCUAUCAGCUUGUUGGUGGGGUGANGGCCUACCAAGGCGACGACGGGUAGCCGGCCUGAGAGGGCGACCGGCCACACUGGGACUGAGACACGGCCCAGACUCCUACGGGAGGCAGCAGGUGGGGAAUCUUGCGCAAUGGGCGAAAGCCUGACGCAGCAACGCCGCGUGGGGAUGAAUGCCUUCGGGUUCGU